GCGGCUCCGGCUCGCGCGAGCCGGGCCGGGCGGCGGCGGCGGCACCAUGAGCGGCCGGAAGCGCAGCUUCACCUUCGGGGCCUACGGCGGGGUGGACAAGUCCUUCACCCCUCGCCGGAGUGUGUGGAGGAGUGAUGGGCAGAACCAGCGCUUCCCUCAGGCACUAGACCUUUCACGAGUGAACUUAGUUCCCUCCUAUACUGCUUCACUCUACCCUAAGAACACAGAUUUAUUUGAGAUGAUUGAAAAGAUGCAGGGAAGCAGGAUGGAUGAACAACGCUGCUCCUUCCCGCCGCCCCUCAAAACAGAAGAGGACUACAUUCCCUACCCGAGCGUGCAUGAGGUCUUGGGGCGAGAAGGGCCCUUCCCCCUCAUCCUGCUGCCCCAGUUUGGGGGCUACUGGAUUGAAGGCACCAACCACGAAAUCACCAGCAUCCCCGAGACGGAGCCGCUGCAGUCACCCACAACCAAGGUGAAGCUUGAGUGCAACCCCACAGCCCGCAUCUACCGGAAGCACUUUCUCGGCAAGGAGCAUUUCAAUUACUACUCACUGGACACUGCCCUCGGCCACCUUGUCUUCUCACUCAAGUACGAUGUCAUCGGGGACCAAGAGCACCUGCGGCUGCUGCUCAGGACCAAGUGCCGGACAUACCAUGAUGUCAUCCCCAUCUCCUGCCUCACCGAAUUCCCGAAUGUUGUCCAGAUGGCAAAGCUGGUGUGUGAAGAUGUCAACGUGGAUCGAUUCUAUCCUGUGCUCUACCCUAAGGCUUCCCGGCUCAUCGUCACCUUUGACGAGCACGUCAUCAGCAAUAACUUCAAGUUUGGCGUGAUUUAUCAGAAGCUUGGGCAGACCUCUGAGGAAGAACUCUUCAGCACCAAUGAGGAGAGCCCCGCCUUCGUGGAGUUCCUUGAAUUUCUUGGCCAGAAGGUCAAACUGCAGGACUUCAAGGGGUUCCGAGGAGGCCUGGACGUGACCCACGGGCAGACGGGGACCGAAUCUGUGUACUGCAACUUCCGCAACAAGGAGAUCAUGUUUCACGUGUCCACCAAGCUGCCCUACACAGAAGGGGACGCCCAGCAGUUGCAGCGGAAGCGGCACAUCGGGAAUGACAUCGUGGCUGUGGUCUUCCAGGAUGAGAACACGCCUUUCGUGCCUGACAUGAUUGCAUCCAACUUCCUGCAUGCCUAUGUGGUGGUGCAGGCCGAGGGUGGGGGCCCUGAUGGCCCCCUCUACAAGGUCUCUGUCACUGCAAGAGACGAUGUGCCCUUCUUUGGACCCCCACUCCCGGACCCCGCUGUGUUCAGGAAGGGGCCUGAGUUCCAGGAAUUUUUGCUGACAAAGCUGAUCAAUGCUGAAUAUGCCUGCUACAAGGCAGAGAAGUUUGCCAAACUGGAGGAGCGGACGCGGGCCGCCCUCCUGGAGACGCUCUAUGAAGAACUGCACAUCCACAGCCAGUCCAUGAUGGGCUUGGGCGGCGACGAGGACAAGAUGGAGAAUGGCAGUGGGGGCGGCGGCUUCUUUGAGUCUUUCAAGCGGGUCAUCCGGAGCCGCAGCCAGUCCAUGGAUGCCAUGGGGCUGAGCAACAAGAAGCCCAACACCGUGUCCACCAGCCACAGUGGGAGCUUCGCGCCCAACAACCCCGACCUGGCCAAGGCGGCUGGAAUAUCAUUGCUUAUUCCUGGGAAAAGCGCGAGUAGAUUCGGACGCCGGGGCAGUGCCAUAGGCAUAGGAACCGUGGAAGAGUCACUGAUUGUCCCUGGGAAGAGCCCCACGAGGAAGAAGUCGGGCCCGUUUGGCUCCCGCCGCAGCAGCGCCAUUGGCAUCGAGAACAUACAGGAGGUGCAGGAGAAGAGGGAGAGCCCUCCGGCUGGCCAGAAGACCCCAGACAGCGGGCACGUCUCCCAGGAGCCCAAGUCGGAGAACUCAUCCACUCAGAGCUCCCCAGAGAUGCCCACGACCAAGAACAGAGCGGAGACCACCGCGCAGAGAGCAGAGGCACUCAAGGACUUCUCCCGCUCCUCAUCCAGUGCCAGCAGCUUCGCCAGCGUGGUAGAGGAGACAGAAGGCGUGGAUGGAGAGGACACCGGCCUGGAGAGCGUGUCAUCCUCCGGAACACCCCACAAGCGGGACUCCUUCAUCUAUAGCACGUGGCUGGAGGACAGUGUCAGCACCACUAGUGGGGGCAGCUCCCCAGGUACCAGGACAGUGCGGCUUCCCCACGAAGCAGGGCUCCCCUUGGGGCCCCUCUCGAUCACCCCACCCAGACGCCGGCAAGUUGGGGGACCCUGCGUGUCCCGAGAUCAAGAUCCAGCUGGAAGCAUCUGAGCAGCACACACCCCAGCUGGGCUGUUAGCCCGGCCGCCCCCUCUGAAGGUGAAAUUGAGCAGAUGAGGCCACGGAAGCACAAGGGGAAGAUGCCGUGUCAAGUCCAGGCAGAUGGGACCUCUGCCCUGAAGACCAGCACCAGCCCGUGGGCCGCCCCUGCCUCUCCACCCUCCCCAUGGCCCACCCGUCCGGGCUGUCUCUGCAGGGCAGAGCCAUCCAGACCUGGGACUGGGGAAGCUGCUGGCAUCGUCCCCACCCCCAGCCUGGGGGGCCAGGCUGGGGCAAGGAUUGCUUAGUGGAAGCAAGACCGGGGGUCUGACUUGCCCCCUCACCCUGGGCCUCCAUCACCCUUGAGCAUCCCUCUGGACUCAGAGGGAACACAGUGGGAGAGAGGGAUUGAGACAGCUCAGUGCGGAGAGCUUACCCCCUGAAGGCAGCAGGAAGUGGAUGUGACAUGUUGGGGAGUGAGCACUAGGUUGGGAGUCAGGGGUCCUGGUUUCUGAUUUGGGUUCUGCUGUGUGACUCUGGGCAAGUCACUCUCCCUCUCUGGGCACUUCUGCUACAAAUGGACACGAUUAUUUCAGAAGUCACUGAAGACUGAUUACAUGCAUCUGCCCUGGAAGGUGGGAUUUUCUUCCCAGGGACCUCCCGUCACUCUACCCUGCUUCUUAAGGUCCCUGGGGCCCCAGGCGGGCAGAGGGGCAGGGAGCUGGCUGUGCCCACUGCACCUCCCAGACUCUCCAGUUCUGCCACAAGUCUGCCAGUGCCCUGUCUACUGCCUACACAUAACAGACAAGUGACCCCCCCGUGGGGGAUGGGGACCUCCCUGGCUCCUCAGCCAGCACCCAGCUUCACCCCUGCCAUCUCAUGCCGCUGGGCCCUCCAGGCUGAGAGUCUCAGCUGGCCGUGAGUCCAGGCCUUGCCCCACCACCAUGGAAGGGCAGCCAAGCACAGCUGCUGGGAGCCCUUGUGUGUCUGCCACACUUUUAGGUGCCAUGCCAAAGGCCAGCCUCCCAGCCCCAGCACCCAUUUUGGAAGCCCCUGUGGCCGUGUGGAUGUCGGUAACAGUUGUAUAAAAUAAAUUCUAUUUAUCGCUAUUGUA